UGCUCCAUGUCUGGAGAAACUUCUGCCCUCCUGCACUGGGUGUCUGUAGGUCUGUUUCAUAUUUUCUCAUUCCCUUCUGCCAGUUUGCAGUAUUUUUUCCCUUUCUUAAAUUUAACAGAGGCACAGACAACAUAGUACACGGCUCAGCUCUGUUCAGCGGCAGGUCCAUUUUGGAGCAGCUGGAGAUGAUUCUGUUCUGACAAGGAAAGGUGCUGGGCUCUGCUCACAGAGGCCACUCCUGCAACUCCUCUGCAACCAAAAUCUUACUGUGUAAACCUAAAGCAACUGAUGAAUGCAGCAAAGACUCUCAUCACAAAUAAUUUGGUGUAACAGCCUCAGCUCUCUCAGCCUUUCCUCACUCUGGAUUUCUGCAAUAUGUCUGCAUCUAUCUUGUACUAAGGAGAACUGUUGUAGACACAGCACUCCAGGUCUUUUGAUACUGUUCCUCAGGAGAUCUGUGUAGACAAGAUGUUGAUGGAUGGACAAACAGAAUGAACAGAAUGGCUGAGCGCUGAGGGCAGUCAUCAGUGGUAUGAAGUCUAGCUGGAGGCUAGUAACUAACAGUGUACCACAGGGAUUAAUGCAGGGUCCAGUCCUGUUUAACAUACUUAUAUUGUACAGUGGUGCUAAGUGUAACUUCUUAUCCAGUGACAAGACCAGAAGCAAAGGGCACAGACUGAAGUACAGGUGGCUUUGCUUGAAUAUCAGGAAAUGUGUCUUUACAAUGAAGCUUACUGAGCACUGACAUUAGUUGCCCAGGGAGGUUAUGGAGUUUCCAUCCUCAAAAUUACUCAAAGGCCAUUUGAACCUUGACAGCAGUUCUAGAUAUGCCUGCUUUGAGAAGAGAUGUUGGACUAAAUGACCUUCAGAAAUCACUUCCUACCUCAAAAACUCUGUGACUGUGUGAAGCCAUUAAGUGUCUCUUGUUCCCUAGUGAAAGUACUAAAUAAAUUUACUAUUUUCACAGGUAUGAUUUUAGUGUUCAAUAUUUUGUUUACAGCCUAGGAAAUCUUUUCAGGAAUAAAGGCUUAGCACACUAGGAAAUCAUGACUGCCACAGGUUUAUGUACCUAACCUCAA